GAACUAAACAAUUGCUUAGGAAGCACAGUGAAGAAUAAAGGCAUCUUCAAAUCCGGGAACAUGUCGUCCCAGGCGAGCGGGAUGCAUACUAAAGGGCCUUUUCGUAAACAGCAGACGGCCAGCAAGAAAACAAAUGUGCCUAAACCGCAAGAGGCAACUCCUACUGGAGCUAAAGCUAACGGUAUAUCAACUCAUAACACACCACAUACGGAUGCAGUCAAGCAGCCAAAACCAAAGCAACAAGUCAAACAAGGCACAGGCCCCAAAUAAUUCUUAUCAGCUGGUGAAUUGAGGAUAAAGAAAUAUAUUGCUUAUCUCGUCUGAAAUAAUGUAGAAGACAUGGUAUAUUGGGGCCAUGCCUUGUCUAGUUGGAGCAUGUAAGUAGCGAAGGGAUGUAAAAGAAAUAUGGCUUGAUCUAUUACAUAUUAGUAAUGUGUACCGUGUACAACUUGGGCUCGUGUAUUUAUUCGCUAUCCUUAGUCCUUCUGUUGGCUUUGUUAUAUGAAUUAACAUCUAUUAAUAAAUUGAGAUUGUAUUUGUUU